GUACUUCUUACAAUUGCGAUGGGGGGACGGAGAAGGCUAGGUGGGCCUGGCGACGGUUGUCCAGGUUCAAGUACGUAGGCGGGUGGUUUAGGUAAAUCCGGACCGCUACUAACGCUGAGAUACGAUGUCGAGCUACUACGGUAGUGAAGUCAUUGAUGCCAUGCUUCCAGGAAAAGCCUCUAAGCUUCAGAUUGUAAGGAAUCGUACCCCAAACCGACACAGGUGGUCGGGUAGAGAAUACCAAGGCGCUUGAGAGAACUCGGGUGAAGGAACUAGGCAAAAUGGUACCGUAACUUCGGGAGAAGGUACGCUCUUAUCAGUGAAGUCCCUUGCGGAUGGAGCAGACGAGAGUCGCAGAUACCAGGUGGCUGCAACUGUUUAUUAAAAACACAGCACUGUGCAAAAUCGUAAGAUGACGUAUACGGUGUGACGCCUGCCCGGUGCCGGAAGGUUAAUUGAUGGGGUUAGACUUCGGUCGAAGCUCUUGAUCGAAGCCCCGGUAAACGGCGGCCGUAACUAUAACGGUCCUAAGGUAGCGAAAUUCCUUGUCGGGUAAGUUCCGACCUGCACGAAUGGCGUAAUGAUGGCCACGCUGUCUCCACCCGAGACUCAGUGAAAUUGAAAUCGCUGUGAAGAUGCAGUGUACCCGCGGCUAGACGGAAAGACCCCGUGAACCUUUACUACAGCUUGGCACUGAACAUUGAACCUACAUGUGUAGGAUAGGUGGGAGACUUUGAAACCGCGUCGCUAGAUGUGGUGGAGUCGUCCUUGAAAUACCACCCUUGUAGUUUUGAUGUUCUAACGUUGGUCCCUGAAUCGGGAUUACGGACAGUGCCUGGUGGGUAGUUUGACUGGGGCGGUCUCCUCCCAAAGAGUAACGGAGGAGCACGAAGGUGGGCUAAACACGGUUGGACAUCGUGUGGUUAGUGCAAUGGCAUAAGCCCGCUUGACUGCGAGAAUGACAAUUCGAGCAGGUGCGAAAGCAGGUCAUAGUGAUCCGGUGGUUCUGAAUGGAAGGGCCAUCGCUCAACGGAUAAAAGGUACUCCGGGGAUAACAGGCUGAUACCGCCCAAGAGUUCAUAUCGACGGCGGUGUUUGGCACCUCGAUGUCGGCUCAUCACAUCCUGGGGCUGAAGUCGGUCCCAAGGGUAUGGCUGUUCGCCAUUUAAAGUGGUACGCGAGCUGGGUUUAGAACGUCGUGAGACAGUUCGGUCCCUAUCUGCCGUGGGCGUUGGAAAAUUGAAAGGGGCUGCUCCUAGUACGAGAGGACCGGAGUGGACGAACCUCUGGUGUUCGGGUUGUCAUGCCAAUGGCAUUGCCCGGUAGCUAAGUUCGGAAUCGAUAACCGCUGAAAGCAUCUAAGCGGGAAGCGAGCCUUGAGAUGAGUUUUCCCUG
rnacentral:rRNA from 1 species